rnacentral:lncRNA from 1 species
UGAUUCAUGUUAUUUCACAAUUAUUAUAUUGUUGAAAACUUGAAAGCUUAUCCAUUCUUUUCAAUCAUGAUAUAUCUCCUUUGUAUGUAAAACUUGCUGGGCAAAUUUGUUGCUCACCCUUGCUAUAUCAUGAUAAAAUUUUCAGAUUAAGAUGAAGGCUUGAAUAAGGGCAGAGGCAAAGACAAAGUGCAAAGUUUCUUUAUGUUGUAGUUAAAUUUAUUAAAUUUUCUGAUGAAAAUAGUAUUGUAAAUCUUCUAAGAUAUUGAAGGUAUUGUAUUCAAGUAAAGGUUACUCGACCUUGGGGAAUAGUGUGUAAUGUAAUGUAUAAACAAUUUAUGUUUAUAUCUUCCGCAAACAGUUAUAAAAUGAUUAGUAAUAGAAAGAUUAGCGAACCGAAUCCGCGGCGAUUUGGGACCCGGAUUCGGGGAUGCUACAACUUCCUUAAACAUUGCCAAUAAUGCUCUCUAAUAAUAUUAUUCAAAUAAUAUGAAUUAUUGAUCUGAUAAUGGAGAUACUGUGCAAUGACAAUUAUUGAAACAACAAUAAUAUAAAAUAUCAACGCAACAAUUAUUGAAUCAAUAAAAUAAAAUAUUGAACAGGAAUUACUGUAACAAUUAUUGAGUAGUGCCUUCUUACGUAAGAAUCAAUAAAUCAAAAAUCUUGAGCAAAACCGUGUGCUACUGUGCAACCACGCGUAUUACUGUAUUUUAACCACCAGGUAUUCCAACAGUGUUAAUGGUAACCAUUACGCCGUUAUUUAUAAAAUCUCAAACUUGUCGUUUUCUUCAUCCGACAGUUAUCCAUUAUGGGGCCCACAAAUGGCUGCCCCGUCGUACGAAUAUUUUCUGACAGCAAGAAUAUUCCAC